rfam:Oryza rufipogon genomic scaffold, chr03
GGUGGCAAAUGAUGUGAAAACAAUCUUAUCCUACACACUGAAUCUUUGAUGUGUGGACAAACAUCUCCGCUUAUUAUCUGAUGCCACU